UUUAUGCUCCCUCCAUCCGGAAAUACUUGUCGAAGAAAUGGAUAAAAAUAGACGUAUCUAAAACUAAAAUACAUCUAGAUACAUCCAUUUCUUUGACAAGUAUUUCCGGACGGAGGGAGUACUUG
rnacentral:pre_miRNA from 1 species